UACAGAGGGGGCAAGCGUUGUUCGGAAUUACUGGGCGUAAAGGGCGCGUAGGUGGCCUUCUAAGUCGAACGUGAAAUCCCUUGGCUCAACCAAGGAACUGCACGGCGAACCGCAUGUCUUGAGAUCGGUAGGGGCGGUCGGAACGAUAGGUGGAGUGGUGAAAUGCGUUGAUAUCUAUCGGAACGCCGAAGGUGAAAGCAGGCCGCUGGGCCGAUUCUGACGCUGAGGUACGAAAGCGUGGGGAGCGAACGGG
rnacentral:rRNA from 1 species